rnacentral:rRNA from 1 species
CCUCGGGGGGCAGCAGUGGGGAAUAUUGGACAAUGGGCGAAAGCCUGAUCCAGCCAUGCCGCGUGUGUGAAGAAGGCCUUCGGGUUGUAAAGCACUUUCAGUGGGGAAGAAAGCCUUGGGGCUAAUACCCUCGAGGAAGGACAUCACCCACAGAAGAAGCACCGGCUAACUCCGUGCCAGCAGCCGCGGUAAUACGGAGGGUGCGAGCGUUAAUCGGAAUUACUGGGCGUAAAGCGCGCGUAGGCGGUCUGAUAAGCCGGUUGUGAAAGCCCCGGGCUCAACCUGGGAACGGCAUCCGGAACUGUCAGGCUAGAGUGCAGGAGAGGAAGGUAGAAUUCCCGGUGUAGCGGUGAAAUGCGUAGAGAUCGGGAGGAAUACCAGUGGCGAAGGCGGCCUUCUGGACUGACACUGACGCUGAGGUGCGAAAGCGUGGGUAGCAAACAGGAUUAGAUACCCAGUAGUC